rnacentral:ncRNA from 1 species
GUGAAGCAAGGAACAGAUGAAAAGGGAAUCGGGUGAAAGUCCCGGACAGUCCACGCUGCUGUAAGUCUUUAUAGGAUUCGAAGUAACCUCUGUUCCACUGAAUAGUUGUCUAUUCGGGAAGGAACUUCGAACGAGACAAAGUCAGAAGACCUGCCUGAUUACU